rnacentral:rRNA from 1 species
UCAGACGAUGCGUCAUGCAUAUCAAUAAGCGGAGGAAAAGAAACUAACAAGGAUUCCCCUAGUAACGGCGAGUGAAGCGGGAAGAGCUCAAAUUUGAAAUCUUAAAGGGUUUCCCUUUACGAAUUGUAGUUUAAAGAAGUGUUUUCUGUUGAGGUUUUGGUAAAAGUUCUUUGGAAUAGGACAUCAUAGAGGGUGAGAAUCCCGUAUUUGACCUUUACUUUCAACUUUGUGAUACACUUUCAAAGAGUCGGAUUGUUUGGGAAUGCAGUCCAAAAUGGGUGGUAAAUUUCAUCUAAAGCUAAAUAUUGGCGAGAGACCGAUAGCGAACAAGUACCGUGAGGGAAAGAUGAAAAGAACUUUGAAAAGAGAGUUAAACAGUACGUGAAAUUGUCAAAAGGGAAGCGUUUGACACCAGUGUUGUUUUUCUGAAAAUCAAUUAAAGAACUGUUUAUGCUAAGCUUGUUUAGACUUUAUCAGCUAACUGUUUAGUUUUGAGCUUUUCUUUAAUGCACUUUUCAGUUAACAAGUCAACAUCAAUUUCUUUUGCUGUAAAGAAGCUUGAGGAAGGUGGCUUGAGAUUCGUCUUAAGUGUUUAUAGCCUCUUGCCUAUGCAGUCGGAGAGAUUGAGGUCUGCAGCGUAGAUCCUUCGGGGCUAAAUGCAUUUGUGCUAAGUUAUAGCAUUUUAUAGACAACUUGUUGACUAUGAUUUGUCUUGUAGCUUACUCGCUUAUGUUAUUUUACCUACGCUUAGGAUGUUGAAGAUGUAGCACAUCAU